GUUUGAAGAUCUUUCCUCUAGUAUAUAUAAUGCUACACAGUUAACAUGGUUCACUAGCUAUUGGGAAGGGACAUUAUGGUUUAGGAGAUGCAAGUCCUUUAUGCAAAACAAGUCACACGUGCUGGGCCUUGGGCUCUUGGGGAAUGUGGACCUUCAAACAAUGUUUUUUUUGGGAAAAAUACUUAUGAGGCUUUGUUGCAUUAUUUGUAACAUUUGUAACAUAGUUAUGGCCCAAAAACGAAAGCCCAUAACAAAUUUGGUUUGCAUUAUCAAAAGAGAAUAUUCGAAUAUUCAUUAAACGGAAUUCCAAUUCAAAGUCAAAAACGUGUGUAUUAAUGGCUCCGCCAAUCACGCCCACGACUGUUUAAUCUCCGCCGUGAUUUGUGGAUCGCAUAUUCUCUCCUCUCCCCUAUAAAAGGAAUACCUUCUCCUCUCAUUUCACUCACUCGUUUCUUGCUAAAGGCUAAACAAAACUUUCUCCCUCUCUCCGUUUCUUCUUAAAGAGUUUAUCGUUUAUUUCAAGUUCGUAGAUUCCGCUAUCGAGUGUUGCGAUACCGGUCUUAUAGUGAUUGUAUCAUGCGGUUUGUUGCUCAUAAAACUGCCACACUGCGGGGACUAGUUUUGAUUACGGAAAGAGAUCAUAUCUCGCCUUCACUCAUUUUCGAAAACCGUAUUUUCUAAUCGUUUUAUAAAGAUCUUUGAUUUUAUUUAAAAUCAGGACUUCGCGGUCCUACAAACAAUGCGGUCCAAAUUCCAAACCCCGUAAGCGAAAAGAUAAGUAGACGUGUUGAUCAACGCGUGGAUUUUCCAUCAGCUUGAGAGACUCCAUUCUUGGGUUUGAUAUUUGUUUCAAACACGUAUAACCUAACAUUAAUCAAUAUUUUUUCCACUUGUGUUGGAUUCUUCCUUUCGUUGUUCCCUGUAUACUUCAAUAUUAUCUUAUAAAAAAAGAGUAACAUAGAAUAUAUGUCAUCAGAUAGUAGGAACAUUGCUUCACUCAUAAAGAGCUCAACCCCAAGUAACUCAG